rnacentral:rRNA from 1 species
AACGAACGCUGGCGGCAUGCCUAACACAUGCAAGUCGAACGAGACCUCCGGGUCUAGUGGCGCACGGGUGCGUAACGCGUGGGAAUCUACCCUUGGGUUCGGAAUAACAGUGAGAAAUUACUGCUAAUACCGGAUGAUGUCGAAAGACCAAAGAUUUAUCGCCCGAGGAUGAGCCCGCGUUGGAUUAGCUAGUUGGUGAG